rnacentral:tRNA from 1 species
GCGGGUGUAGCAUAAUGGUAAUGCUCCAGCUUCCCAAGCUGGCAACGUGGGUUCGAUUCCCAUCACCCGCUCCA